rnacentral:lncRNA from 1 species
CCCAGGACCUUGCUAGCACCCUUCCGCCACCGGCUGUGAUGCGUGACCGGAACAGAAAUGCGGAAAUAAUCAGCCUCUGAGCCCACACCCUGUUUCCUCCAUCAGAACAGCUGAACAGAGCGGUGGCAGGCUCACAUUCCGACCCACUCUUUGUUCCCCGAGGAAGAUCUGACUUCUGACCUGGGAAGAUACUUAAGGCUCUCAGAAGCUCACCCACUUUGCCCUCUGGCACAGCCCUGGUUAUUGGAACACCACCAGCCUCCCGAAGGUGUGCCUCCCUCUGUGGUUCUUGAACAA